ACUCCUACGGGAGGCAGCAGUGGGGAAUUUGGACAAUGGGCGAAAGCCUGAUCCAGCAAUGCCGCGUGCAGGAUGAAGGCCCGUCGGGUUGUAAACUGUCUUUGUACGGAACGAAAGCCUGGGGCUAAUAUCCCGGGUCAUGACGGUACCGUAAGAAUAAGCACCGGCUAACUACGUGCCAGCAGCCGCGGUAAUACGUAGGGUGCAAGCGUUAAUCGGAAUUACUGGGCGUAAAGCGUGCGCAGGCGGUUUUGUAAGACAGUGGUGAAAUCCCCGGGCUCAACCUGGGAACUGCCAUUGUGACUGCAAGGCUAGAGUGCGGCAGAGGGGAUGGAAUUCCGCGUGUAGCAGUGAAAUGCGUAGAUAUGCGGAGGAACACCGAUGGCGAAGGCAAUCCCCUGGGCCUGCACUGACGCUCAUGCACGAAAGCGUGGGAGCAAACAGGAUUAGAUACCCCUGGUAGCGACUGA
rnacentral:rRNA from 1 species